AUUUCAAAAUUAACAUCAUAAUCAUACAUUCAUGAAACAACUACUUUAUAAGACAGCAAAUCAAUAUUCCCUACUUUGGAUUUAACAAGCUGGUGGUCCAUGUAUGAUCUUUUAGCAUUAUCAGAACCCACAUUCAAAAGCUAGGCGAAGGGCUAAAAAUAAAGGAAUAAAAAUAAAUAGAAUCCCUAAGAGAAAAAAAGGAGAAGAAAAGAACAAGAGAGAUGGAGAAUAGAUGAGGAAGGGGGGAAAGAGAGAGAGGAUAGGGCCAAAGGAAUUUAAUAAGGAGA
rnacentral:misc_RNA from 1 species